GGAGAGGUGCGCCGAAUGGCAAGGCAGCAGUUUGCUAAACUGUAACGGUGUAAAAAGCCGUUUGCGGGUUCGAGUCCCGCCCUCUCCG
rnacentral:tRNA from 2 species